rnacentral:rRNA from 1 species
CCUAAAUCUUACUUAAAUUUGUUAAGUCAAUUUGUAUACCACUAUUAAAUUAAUUAUUAAUUUUAAUUUAUAAAAUUUAUGCAAAUUUAAAAAAAAUUAAGUCAAGUGCAGUAAAAAUUUAAGAAUGAAGUGAAUUACAUUUCUUUUAAGAGAUUAUUAAAAUUAAAAUUUUAAUUUAGGAUUU